rnacentral:rRNA from 1 species
AGUGAACGCUGGCGGUAGGCCUAACACAUGCAAGUCGAACGGCAGCACAGUAAGAGCUUGCUCUUACGGGUGGCGAGUGGCGGACGGGUGAGGAAUACAUCGGAAUCUACUUUUUCGUGGGGGAUAACGUAGGGAAACUUACGCUAAUACCGCAUACGACCUACGGGGGAAAGCAGGGGAUCUUCGGACCUUGCGCGAUUGAAUGAGCCGAUGUUGGAUUAGCUAGUUGGCGGGCUAAAGGCCCACCAAGGCGACGAUCGGUAGCUGGUCUGAGAGGAUGAUCAGCCACACUGGAACUGAGACACGGUCCAGACUCCUACGGGAGGCAGCAGUGGGGAAUAUUGGACAAUGGGCGCAAGCAUGAUCCAGCCAUACCGCGUGGGUGAAGAAGGCCUUCGGGUUGUAAAGCCCUUUUGUUGGGAAAGAAAAGCAGCAGGUUAAUACCCCGCUGUUCUGACGGUACCCAAAGAAUAAGCACCGGCUAACUUCGUG